GGUAAUACGGAGGGUGCAAGCGUUAAUCGGAAUUACUGGGCGUAAAGCGCACGCAGGCGGUUUGUUAAGUCAGAUGUGAAAUCCCCGAGCUUAACUUGGGAACUGCAUUUGAAACUGGCAAGCUAGAGUCUUGUAGAGGGGGGUAGAAUUCCAGGUGUAGCGGUGAAAUGCGUAGAGAUCUGGAGGAAUACCGGUGGCGAAGGCGGCCCCCUGGACAAAGACUGACGCUCAGGUGCGAAAGCGUGGGGAGCAAACAGGAUUAGAUACCCUGGUAGUCCACGCUGUAAACGAUGUCGACUUGGAGGUUGUGCCCUUGAGGCGUGGCUUCCGGAGCUAACGCGUUAAGUCGACCGCCUGGGGAGUACGGCCGCAAGGUUAAAACUCAAAUGAAUUGACGGGGGCCCGCACAAGCGGUGGAGCAUGUGGUUUAAUUCGAUGCAACGCGAAGAACCUUACCUACUCUUGAC
rnacentral:rRNA from 1 species